rnacentral:lncRNA from 1 species
AAGCUUGGGUAGAGGUGUGGGCUGGCCUAUUUCCUGCCCUAGCCACAUGCUAAACUUAAAAGCUGCUUGGGAGGCUAUACGCAAAGCUUGCAAGACUUAUGAGGCAAAGAGUCUCAAACCAGAAGGUUCUCCCUUAAUGUACUUGGAUUAAGAAGUGGACUAGUGCAGACAAUGACACCCCCCCAACCUUAGAAACUCAUACCGACCAUAUCUUGCGCAAAUGAAAUUAACCAUCUAAAUGUUAGCUAAUGCUAGAAUGAGAAGAGCUUUCAUUUACGCUAUGAAGGAUGCCUACUCCGAACACCUUAGUUGGCUGCUAGAUUCUCCACUAGUAAGGAUGAACAGCGCACGUCCCUGACAAGUUUGUGAGAGUGGACAAUCAUGCCACAGGUAUCGAUAACUAGAAAGGAGAUAGUGUGAAGGGUCGGUAACGUGGAUCUUAGUGCCUUGAUCUUCAAGGACUUUCACUACUAUGAUGUUGCCCGCUCAAAAGAGGAGGAGGUAGAUUAUAAUCGGGGCU